GUUUAUGAAUGAUGAGAACAAAUAUUUACAGUUAUCCCUGUCUGAUAAUUUCUGCUGAAAGAUUGUAAUCUGACUAAAAC
rnacentral:snoRNA from 1 species